AUUGAACGCUGGCGGCAUGCCUUACACAUGCAAGUCGAACGGUAACAGGUCUUCGGAUGCUGACGAGUGGCGAACGGGUGAGUAAUACAUCGGAACGUGCCUAGUAGUGGGGGAUAACUACUCGAAAGAGUGGCUAAUACCGCAUGAGAUCUACGGAUGAAAGCAGGGGAUCGCAAGACCUUGUGCUACUAGAGCGGCCGAUGGCAGAUUAGGUAGUCGGUGGGAUAAAAGCUUACCAAGCCGACGAUCUGUAGCUGGUCUGAGAGGACGAUCAGCCACACUGGGACUGAGACACGGCCCAGGCUCCUACGGGAGGCAGCAGUGGGGAAUUUUGGACAAUGAGCGCAAGCCUGAUUCAGCAAUGCCGCGUGCAGGAUGAAGGCCUUCGGGUUGUAAACUGCUUUUGUACGGAACGAAAAGCCCCGGGUUAAUACCCUGGGGUCAUGACGGUACCGUAAGAAUAAGCACCGGCUAACUACGUGCCAGCCGCCGCGGUAA
rnacentral:rRNA from 1 species